rnacentral:rRNA from 1 species
UGAAAGACGGUAGCUUAACUAUCGCAGAGCCUUUGAUACUGAUGGGCUUGAAUACAGUUGAAGUGGGCGGAAUGUGACAAGUAGCGGUGAAAUGCAUAGAUAUGUCACAGAACACCGAUUGCGAAGGCAGCUCACUAAAGUGUGAUUGACACUGAGGCACGAAAGCGUGGGGAUCAAACAGGAUUAGAUACCCUGGUAGUCCACGCCCUAAACGAUGAAUACUCGAUGUUGGCGAUAUACGGUCAGCGUCUAAGCGAAAGCGUUAAGUAUUCCACCUGGGGAGUACGCCCGCAAGGGUGAAACUCAAAGGAAUUGACGGGGGCCCGCACAAGCGGAGGAGCAUGUGGUUUAAUUCGAUGAUACGCGAGGAACCUUACCCGGGCUUGAAAGUUAGUGAAUUGAGCAGAGACGCUCAAGUUCUUCGGAACACGAAACUAGGUGCUGCAUGGCUGUCGUCAGCUCGUGCCGUGAGGUGUUGGGUUAAGUCCCGCAACGAGCGCAACCCCUAUGUUUAGUUGCCAGCACGUCAAGGUGGGGACUCUAAACAGACUGCCUACGCAAGUAGAGAGGAAGGAGGGGACGACGUCAAGUCAUCAUGGCCCUUACGUCCGGGGCUACACACGUGCUACAAUGGAUGGUACAGAGGGCUGCUACCUGGCAACAGGAUGCCAAUCUCUAAAAGCCAUUCACAGUUCGGAUCGGGGUCUGCAACUCGACCCCGUGAAGUUGGAUUCGCUAGUAAUCGCAUAUCAGCAAUGAUGCGGUGAAUACGUUCCCGGGCCUUGUACACACCGCCCGGCAAGCCAUGGAAGCUGGGGGUACCUGAAGUAUGUAACCGCAA